rnacentral:rRNA from 1 species
GUUCCAGACUCCUACGGGAGGCAGCAGUGGGGGAUAUUGCACAAUGGGGGAAACCCUGAUGCAGCGACGCCGCGUGUGGGAAGACGGUCCUCUGGAUUGUAAACCACUGUCCCCAGGGACGAAGAUGACGGUACCUGGGGAGGAAGCUCCGGCUAACUACGUGCCAGCAGCCGCGGUAAUACGUAGGGUGCGAGCGUUAAUCGGAAUUACUGGGCGUAAAGCGCUCGUAGGCGGUAUGUCAAGUCAAGGGUGAAAUCCCCGCGCUCAACGUGGGAACUGCCUUUGAAACUGGCAAACUGGAGUGUGUGAGAGGAUAGUGGAAUUCCAGGUGUAGGAGUGAAAUCCGUAGAUAUCUGGAGGAACAUCGGUGGCGAAGGCGGGUUCCUGGACAUUAACUGACGCUGAGGCACGAAGGCCAGGGGAGCGAAAGGGAUUAGAUACCCUAGUAG